rnacentral:misc_RNA from 1 species
UGAUGCUCCUGUGGUGCUAUAAUAGAAGGAUGCUCGAUAUGUAGGUCGUGUAGAUUUUUGAAGAUGUAAUAUGCUAAUUUUGAUCUUUAAUUGAGCGACAACUGACUAAGCGAAAUGUAUAUUCCUCCAUGUAAUUAUUGACAUGAACAUAUUCGGUGCUAUGGUUUUUGAGUAGCUUUUUUCGUUUCGGUUGAAAGUUGUAGAUGGUUCCUACUACAUGGCAGCGGAUAAAGGAUAAUCUGACCUGACCUACACACUGGA